CUAACGUUAUUGGGGUUUUAUAUUUAUAAGUUU
rnacentral:misc_RNA from 1 species